AACGAACGCUGGCGGCAGGCUUAACACAUGCAAGUCGAGCGCCCCCGCAAGGGGAGUGGCAGACGGGUGAGUAACACGUGGGAACGUGCCCUUCGCUUCGGGAUAGCCUCGGGAAACUGGGAGUAAUACCGAAUACGCCGUAUUGGGAAAGAUUUAUCGGCGAAGGAUCGGCCCGCGUUGGAUUAGCUAGUUGGCGGUGUAAUGGACCACCAAGGCUACGAUCCAUAGCUGGUCUGAGAGGACGACCAGCCACACUGGGACUGAGACACGGCCCAGACUCCUACGGGAGGCAGCAGUGGGGGAAUCUUGGACAAUGGCGCAAGCCUGAUCCAGCCAUGCCGCGUGAGUGAAGAAGGACCUUAGGGUUGUAAAACUCUUUCGCCGGUGAAGAUAAUGACGGUAACCGGAGAAGAAGCCCGGCUAACUUCGUGCCAGCAGCCGCGGUAAU
rnacentral:rRNA from 1 species